rnacentral:rRNA from 1 species
UACACUCCUGCGGGAGGCAGCAGUGGGGAAUUUUGGACAAUGGGCGAAAGCCUGAUCCAGCAAUGCCGCGUGAGUGAAGAAGGCCUUCGGGUUGUAAAGCUCUUUUGUCAGGGAAGAAACGGUGAGAGCUAAUAUCUUUUGCUAAUGACGGUACCUGAAGAAUAAGCACCGGCUAACUACGUGCCAGCAGCCGCGGUAAUACGUAGGGUGCAAGCGUUAAUCGGAAUUACUGGGCGUAAAGCGUGCGCAGGCGGUUUUGUAAGUCUGAUGUGAAAUCCCCGGGCUCAACCUGGGAAUUGCAUUGGAGACUGCAAGGCUAGAAUCUGGCAGAGGGGGGUAGAAUUCCACGUGUAGCAGUGAAAUGCGUAGAUAUGUGGAGGAACACCGAUGGCGAAGGCAGCCCCCUGGGUCAAGAUUGACGCUCAUGCACGAAAGCGUGGGGAGCAAACAGGAUUAGAAACCCCAGUAGUCCCA